rnacentral:rRNA from 1 species
GCGGCAGGCCUAACACAUGCAAGUCGAGCGCGCCCUUCGGGGUGAGCGGCGGACGGGUGAGUAACGCGUGGGAACGUGCCCUUUGCUGCGGAAUAGCCACUGGAAACGGUGAGUAAUACCGCAUGAGCCCUUCGGGGGAAAGAUUUAUCGGCAAGGGAUCGGCCCGCGUUGGAUUAGGUAGUUGGUGGGGUAAUGGCCUACCAAGCCGACGAUCCAUAGCUGGUUUCAGAGGAUGAUCAGCCACACUGGGACUGAGACACGGCCCAGACUNCUACCGGAGGCANCAGUGGGGAAUCUUAGACAAUGGGCGCAAGCCUGAUCUAGCCAUGCCGCGUGAGUGACGAAGGCCCUAGGGUCGUAAAGCUCUUUCGCCUGUGAAGAUAAUGACGGUAGCAGGUAAAGAAACCCCGGCUAACUCCGUGCCAGCAGCCGCGGUAAUACGGAGGGGGUUAGCGUUGUUCGGAAUUACUGGGCGUAAAGCGCGCGUAGGCGGACCAUCAAGUUGGGGGUGAAAUCCCGGGGCUCAACCCCGGAACU